UACGGAGGGUGCAAGCGUUAUCCGGAUUCACUGGGUUUAAAGGGUGCGUAGGUGGGUCUGUAAGUCAGUGGUGAAAUCUCCGAGCUUAACUCGGAAACUGCCAUUGAUACUAUUUAUCUUGAAUACUUUGGAGGUAAGCGGAAUAUGUCAUGUAGCGGUGAAAUGCUUAGAUAUGACAUAGAACACCAAUUGCGAAGGCAGCUUACUACACAGUUAUUGACACUGAGGCACGAAAGCGUGGGGAUCAAACAGG
rnacentral:rRNA from 1 species